UGUCUUCGGAGAGAAGGGUUACAGAGAC
rnacentral:piRNA from 1 species